rnacentral:rRNA from 1 species
GGCGAAGGCGGCUGUCUGGUCUGUAACUGACGCUGAGGCUCGAAAGCAUGGGUAGCGAACAGGAUUAGAUACCCUGGUAGUCCAUGCCGUAAACGAUGAAUGCUAGGUGUUGGAGGGUUUCCGCCCUUCAGUGCCGCAGCUAACGCAUUAAGCAUUCCGCCUGGGGAGUACGACCGCAAGGUUGAAACUCAAAGGAAUUGACGGGGGCCCGCACAAGCGGUGGAGCAUGUGGUUUAAUUCGAAGCAACGCGAAGAACCUUACCAGGUCUUGACAUCUUUUGAUCACCUGAGAGAUCAGGUUUCCCCUUCGGGGGCAAAAUGACAGGUGGUGCAUGGUUGUCGUCAGCUCGUGUCGUGAGAUGUUGGGUUAAGUCCCGCAACGAGCGCAACCCUUAUGACUAGUUGCCAGCAUUUAGUUGGGCACUCUAGUAAGACUGCCGGUGACAAACCGGAGGAAGGUGGGGAUGACGUCAAAUCAUCAUGCCCCUUAUGACCUGGGCUACACACGUGCUACAAUGGAUGGUACAACGAGUUGCGAGACCGCGAGGUCAAGCUAAUCUCUUAAAGCCAUUCUCAGUUCGGACUGUAGGCUGCAACUCGCCUACACGAAGUCGGAAUCGCUAGUAAUCGCGGAUCAGCACGCCGCGGUGAAUACGUUCCCGGGCCUUGUACACACCGCCCGUCACACCAUGAGAGUUUGUAACACCCGAAGCCGGUGGCGUAACCCUUUUAGGGAGCGAGCCGUCUAAGGUGGGACAAAUGAUUAGGGUGAAGUCGUAACAAGGUAGCCGUAGGAGAACCUGCGGCUGGAUCACCUCCUUU